CAUAAUUUAUAAGCCCAUUUAUCUCAGUUUAGGCCCAAAGUUUCUCAAUAUAUCUAAAUAUACUAAAUCAGCAGUCACUUUUCCAGUAAGUGAUGCAUUUAGUGAUUGACACAUCAGCUUAUUACUAUUUUUUUAUUCUUUCAUUUUCACGCAGGAUUUUUAUGUGUCGUUUUUAUUUAACUUUGUUUUUUUCUCAAACGAUUUUCUCUUUCAUCCCCACGAUCUCCACAUCUCCACUUUCUCUCUUCCAAAAACUCCAUGACUACUGUGUAAAAUCUCAAAGAUGGGUUUCUCAACAUCAUUAAUCGAUUACUCAGAAAUCAGGUACUUUGUUCAUCUCAAUGAAUCAAUUUACCAUCUUCUAUUUCUGUUUGUAAUUUUGUUUUAUAUAUAUAGAAUUCUCCAUAGAUCCGAAAAUCAUAUAUCCUUCUUCUAGAUUUCUAUGGCUUUUUUUUUUGUUUUUGCUUUGUUUCUGCUUUAUUUGACUGAAUUCGAUUUCUCUCAUACAUCUCCUUUUUUCCAUAGGAUUAUUCUUUAAUACAAUCAAUGCCUAUGAUUCUCCCGUCUCACAAACACUCAAGGAACAACGACAAAUUUUGGUUUCUCAUCUGAACAGUUGCCUUAAAACAAGGGUGAGUUUAAUAUCUUAAUCGAAGCUCAAAUGUUUUUUUAAUGGUAAAUUAAUUCUCAUACUUUUUACUAUUCUUCUUUCAUCUCUUAUUUUACUUCUUUAUAUCUACAAUUUCUUUUUUGU
rnacentral:sRNA from 1 species